GACGAACGCUGGCGGCGUGCCUAAUACAUGCAAGUCGAACGCUGAAGAGAGGAGCUUGCUCUUCUUGGAUGAGUUGCGAACGGGUGAGUAACGCGUAGGUAACCUGCCUUGUAGCGGGGGAUAACUAUUGGAAACGAUAGCUAAUACCGCAUAACAAUGUAUGACACAUGUCAUUUAUUUGAAAGGGGCAAUUGCUCCACUACAAGAUGGACCUGCGUUGUAUUAGCUAGUAGGUGAGGUAAAGGCUCACCUAGGCGACGAUACAUAGCCAGCCUGAGAGGGUGGUCGGCCACAAUUGGACUGAGACACGGGUCAGAACCCUUCCGGGAGGAGCAGGAGGGGAUCUUUCGCAAAGGGGGGAAACCUUGCCGGGGAACGCCGCGUGGGGGAAGGAGGUUCUCGGGUCGUAAAGCUCUUGUGUAAGUGGAGGAAGGGUGUGAUAGUGGAAAGUUCACAUCGUGACGGUAGCUAAUCAGAAAGCGACGGCUAACUACGUG
rnacentral:rRNA from 1 species